GCCGAGCAUAGUGUGCUGCCGCGCCGUCGAUUCCACGAAGUGGGCAGCCCGAGCCGAUUCCCCAAUGUGUCAACGACUACGUCCGCUGCGUGAUCCUGUGGGACAUGACCAAUCCACUGCCUCAUCAACACAUCGAGGGUGAAUUGAGUUCAGAUCUUUGAGCAAAGGAUUGCGAUUUUGUAGCUGCAUUGGGGCUAUUCUUUAUCAUUUG
rnacentral:rRNA from 1 species